CCUUGGUGCUCUAUGUUAGCUUGGACCCACACCUAACCAUCUCGAACUAGGUUGUGAAAUAGGCUAAAGGUUUAAUAUACUAUGGGCAAGGCCCAUUGGGAAAAUAAACUUAGUGCCAGGG
rnacentral:rRNA from 1 species